GGCCGACUAGCUCAGCUGGUUAGAGCGUCGUGCUAAUAUACGACAUGCUGGAUAUUCUGUUAACGCGAAGGUCUUGGGUUCGAUCCCCACGUUGGCCA